GCCUGGGUGGCUCAGCCAGUUAAGCGUCUGACUUUGGCUCAGGUCAUGAUCUCACGGUUCGUGGGUUCAAGCCCCUCAUCGGGCU
rnacentral:tRNA from 1 species